AGAGUUUGAUCCUGGCUCAGAACGAACGCUGGCGGCGUGGAUAAGACAUGCAAGUCGGACGAGACUUUUCGUUGUAGCAAUACGAUGGAAAGUUUAGUGGCGAACGGGUGCUUAACACGUGGGCAACCUGCCAUGAAGUGGGGGAUAGCUCGCCGAAAGGCGAAUUAAUACCGCAUGUGAUUAGAGAGGACAUCCUUUCGAAAUUAAAGUCGGGGCAACCUGACGCUUCUUGUGGGGCCCGCGGCCUAUCAGCUAGUUGGUGAGGUAACGGCUCACCAAGGCUUUGACGGGUAGCUGGUCUGAGAGGACGACCAGCCACACUGGGACUGAAACACGGCCCAGACACCUACGGGUGGCAGCAGUCGAGAAUUUUUGACAAUGGGGGAAACCCUGAUCGAGCGACGCCGCGUGGAGGAUGAAGGUCUUCGGAUUGUAAACUCCUGUCAUUGGGGAACAAUGCACAGAUAUUAACUGUAUUUGUGUUGAUAGUACCCGAAGAGGAAGGGACGGCUAACUCUGUGCCAGCAGCCGCGGUAAUACAGAGGUCCCAAGCGUUGUUCGGAUUCAUUGGGCGUAAAGGGUGCGUAGGUGGCACUGUAAGUCGGGUGUGAAAUCCCGGGGCUUAACCCCGGAACUGCAUUCGAUACUGCAGUGCUUGAGGACUGGAGAGGAGACUGGAAUUCAUGGUGUAGCAGUGAAAUGCGUAGAUAUCAUGAGGAAGACCAGUGGCGAAGGCGGGUCUCUGGACAGUUCCUGACACUGAGGCACGAAGGCCAGGGGAGCAAACGGGAUUAGAUACCCCAGUAGUCC
rnacentral:rRNA from 1 species